rnacentral:rRNA from 1 species
ACCCGUUGAUCCUGCGGGAGGUCGCUACUAUUAGGGUUCGACUAAGCCAUGCAAGUCGGAGGGGCUCUUCGGAGUCACAGGCAAAAUGCUCAGUACACGUCGUUAAUCUAACCUUAGAUCUGGAAUAACCUUGGAAAACUGAGGCUAAAACCGGAUAUGGGAAAAUAAUUGGAAAAUGUUUUCCUUUAAAAGCAAUGUCUAAGGAUGAGACGGCGGCGGAUUAGGUUGUUGGCGGGGUAAUGGCCCACCAAGCCGACGAUCCGUAGGGGCCGUGAGAGCGGUAGCCCCGAGAAGGACACUGAGAUACUGGUCCUAGCCCUACGGGGUGCAGCAGGCGCGAAACCUUUACAAUGCACGAAAGUGUGAUAAGGGAACCCUAAGUGCUCAUGUUUUACAUGGGCUUUUGCCAAGAAUAAAUAUCUUGGCGAAUAAGUGGUGGGAAAGACUGGUGCCAGCAGCCGCGGUAACACCAGCGCCACAAGUAGGGACCACUACUAUUGGGCCUAAAGCGUCCGUAGCCGGCUGAAUAAAUUUCUUGUGAAAUUGUUGGGCUUAACCUAACAACGUGCAGGAAAAACUGUUCAGCUUGGAACCGGGAGAAGUCAGGAGUAUGCUGGGGGGAGCGGUAAAAUGUUAUAAUCCCCGGUAGACUACCAGUGGCGAAGGCGCCUGACUAGAACGGAUUCGACGGUGAGGGACGAAAGCCAGGGGAGCGAAGCGGAUUAGAUACCCGUGUAGUCCUGGCCGUAAACGCUGCGAGCUAGGUGUUGCAUAUUCUACAUGAAUAUGCAGUAUCGAAGCGAAGGUGAUAAGCUCGCCGCCUGGGAAGUAUGGUCGCAAGGCUGAAACUUAAAGGAAUUGGCGGGGGAGCACUACAAGGGGUGCGGCGUGCGGUUUAAUCUAAUUCAACGCAGAGAAUCUCACCAGAAGCGACGGCAGGAUGAAAGUCAGGCUAAAGGUCUUACUUGACGAGCCGAGAGGUAGUGCAUGGCCGCCGUCAGCUCGUGCUGUAAAGUGUCCUGUUAAGUCAGGCAACGAGCGAGACCUGCAUCUACAAUUGCUAACGGAUUCUUUAGAAUGACUGAGCACAUUGUGGAGACUGCCCUGGAAACAGGGAGGAAGGUGCAGGCUACGGUAGGUCUGUAUGCUCCGAAUCUUCUGGGCUACACGCGCGCAACAAUGGUAAGGACAAUGGGAUGCGACUCCGAAAGGAGGAGCUAAUCCUCGAAACCUUAUCCAAGUCUAGAUUGAGGAUUGUAACUCAUCCUCAUUACAAUGGAAUCCCUAGUAAUCAGAGUUUAUCAUACUCCGGUGAACAUGUCCCUGCUCCUUGCACACACCGCCCGUCAAGCCACCCGAGUAGGGUUUAGGUGAGAGGUAAAUUUUAUUUGCAUCGAACCUAAGCUCAGCGAGGAGGGCUAAGUCGUCACAAGGUA